GCUGGGCAUGGUGGUGCACGCCUGUAGUCCCAGCUACUAGGGAGGCUGAGGUGGGGGGAUCACUUGAGCCUGGGAGGUAGAGGCUGCAGUGAGCCAUGAGCGUGCCACUGCACUCCAGCCUGGGCAACAGAGUGAGACCUUGUCUCAA
rnacentral:SRP_RNA from 1 species